GCCGCUAUAGCUCAGUGGUAGAGCACUGGUCUCGUAAACCAGGGGUCGUGAGUUCAACCUCACUGGCGGCA
rnacentral:tRNA from 1 species